UAAAAGGUUCUAAUCAGAACCACAGAAUAUGGUCUAAGUGACUGUGU
rfam:Stegodyphus mimosarum contig113858, whole genome shotgun sequence.